CGUAGGUGCGAGCGUUGUCCGGAAUUAUUGGGCGUAAAGGGCUCGUAGGCGGUCCGUCGCGUCGGAAGUGAAACUCGGGGCUUAAACCCCGAGCCGGCUUCCGAUACGGGCGGACUAGAGGAAUGCAGGGGAGAAUGGAAUUCCUGGUGGAGCGGUGGAAUGCGCAGAUAUCAGGAGGAACACCAGUGGCGAAGGCGGUUCUCUGGGCAUUUCCUGACGCUGAGGAGCGAAAGCGUGGGGAGCAAACAGGCUU
rnacentral:rRNA from 1 species